AUCUGUGUCUCAUUAAUCUCCAAAUUAUGUCGAUGCGCUCUCCUUCCUUUUCCCCAUCUUGAUCUGGAAUUCACUUACCUCCUUGCAUUCGUUAUGACCGAUUAUCAUCUGAAUUGGUUUAAUCUCGAAACCUGGAGGACCUUCUUUCAUGUCUUUCCUUGGAAUUUUGGGGAUUGGGGUUUGUUGGCUGGUCCAGCUUGUAUUGAUUGUCAACUCCGCUCUUCGAAUGAUGCCCAAGGGGUUAAUACAAACUCCGUAGAACACCACUUUGUUCCUCUGAAGGCAGAUACCUUGGAGGAGAUUGACAAAAAUGGGAGUGCUCCGACCUGUUUUAUCUCUCUAAAGCCUGAUCUUUGCGCUCCAGGGGAGCAUAUUGUUGCAUCUUGGCCAGACGACAUGCCUAUAGGAGACGGGGAUUCAUAUUUGUUCCAUAUAAUGUCUUGUCCGGCACUUCUUUUGCAACACCCCUCGUUGCUGCUGGACUUGCUAUGAUCAAAGCGGAGAAAAACUUUUCUGUUUCUGCAACAAUUUCUGCAGCCAUAACUACUGCUAACAAAAUGCAUGGAAAAGAUCUUGCUUUUGAGUUUGCAUAUGGAGCAGGAGAGUUUAAUUUGAAAAAGGCAAGACAACCCGAUAUUAGGGUUGGUGAGUGCACAGCGGAAACGAAGAUGUGUUUGAUUGAGAAGUAUAAAUUGAAUUGAUAAUUGGCAAGAUAAUUAAUAUAAAUGAACACACGAUUUUAUGUAACAACGAGCACUUUUAUUCCACUAUUUGAAAGUAGGAGAGUACAAGAACCCUUGAGGGUGAUUAUUACAAGAGAACUCUCACUAUAAGAAACUCACAAGGAGUAUUAUGAUAGUAGUGGAAUAUUACAAGGAGGGAGGAUAUUUUGUAGAAAGGCUUGUGUUUGGUAUGACUUCUUGUGUUGUGUUGUUGUUUGAUUGAAUGCCCUUGACCUAUAUUUAUAGGUGUAGAUGGAGCUUGGAAGAUUUGUGUGGAAAAUUCCACAUAUGUAGAUAUUUUUGAACUCUCUACAUAAAUCUAGAAUUUUAAUUGGCAUUUAAUAAUUCUAGAUUUUUCCUCAAUUCUCCAUCCUUCUUGUGUCCAUAAUAUUCUAGAAAAUUCAAGUAGGAUAUUAUUUCGAAAGCCUCUAGAAUAUGGAUAAUACUUCGACCAAAAUAAUGGGCUUAUAAAAUUUGGGCCAUACCCAACACCCGGUCUGGUGUAUGAGGAGAAAAAUUGUAUUUUUCAAAGAUUCCAUUUGUCUGAUGGAGAAGAUCCACCUUAAUUUCACCUUAAUCUACCUUAUUUCUCAGCUACAUUUCCUCCACAUUGUGAAGAAAAAUGGCUUAUUCAAUUCAGUAUAAAAUUAAGAAGUGUUGAGAAGGGGCGAAGUACAUAUACUGCUAAGAUUGAAAUUCAUUCUUCUAAGAUGCGCAUGCCUACAGAGUCAAUCAGCAUCAGCGUUGUUCCAAAAAUAUUGGAAUUUGAUGAUAUGGACUGUGAACAACAAUUUACUUUGAAUGUGAGUUUGCCUAACACCAAAUAUUAUGAAUGGUCUAUUGGUGUGAUUUCUGGUUCUUUAAUAUGGACCAAAAAUGCUGAUAAAGAAGAUUAGAGAACUGUAGUUGAUUCUCCCAUUCUACUUUCAUCCAGACAUGUACCGUCUAGGCCAGUUGGAGUUUAUCCUUCCUCAUGUUAGUACUUCAUGACUUUUAUGUUUGAUGGUGAACUCAUUCGAUAUGUACAUAUCAUUUUUGUAUGAAA